UAUGAGCUUUUUGCAAAAUUUCGAGCCCAGCCAAAUAUUACAUUACUUCCUCUUCUCGCCUUCGAUUUGCUUGGAGUUGCAGCCGUAAGUUAUCUAGAACUUAAACACACCGUCUAGCUCACCAUAACGUUUUCAGCUUGCAUUAAUAUGUGCAGCUUUUAUGUGGCUAACUUAAUCCUCCACCCCCAAGCGUUCAAUCAACCUAAUCGCAAUCUAGGCGUAGUCUGCUUACCGAUUACGACAACGGUGAAUUUCGUCAUUAUGAAUCGACAAUCUAUAUAUAAAUUUGUCAGAUUCUUGACGUGAAAUUCAUCAGUUCCUCUCCCUCAAUCAUUAUAAUCAAUUUCUCUCUCGAUGGUUUAGUUUCCCUUCUUCUCAUCGCUGCUAUAUUGCAUGGAUCAAUUUUGUUUGUAAUGCAUCUCUAAUCUUUUUUUGAUGUAUUUUUCCCUGCCUUGACUAAGAUCGUCGGGACUCUCGAUCCUAAAUCCCGAUCCGUCGAAACUCUCUCUGUGGCCCGAUUCGAUUCUCCAUGGGUGACUCUGAUGAUCUGAAAUUUUUUUGUGAAGAGCACUAAGAAGCUUGGUACUAAAGUAUACGUAAAUUAUUGGGUCCUCUUUUUUAAUGGUGGAAGCAAAUCCAUGAUCGCAUCGAACACUGUCAUGACCACUCUGUCAUGGAGAUUGACGAUGAAGAAAUCUCUUGGAUCACCAAUCGUCCUGCUGUUCAUCUGGAGACGGGGAAGAUAAAGCUGAGGCUCAGGAGGGUGAGAUGGUUGGGAAGGAGCCUGAGGUAGAGAAGAAAAGAGAACCAGAGCCGGAGUUUGAAAAACAGAAGGAGAAGAAGCAUACAACUUUGAAGGAGAAAGAGAUGGAGAAUACUGCGUACAAGGACUUAGAAACUGCUAUCAAUAAGAGAGAGAUACAGAAACAGGAAGAGGUGAAGCGUUUAAAGAGGGAGGCUGCUAAGGUAGAGAGGAAGCACAUAGAAAAAAUAAGAAGAGGAGGCCCGGGAGUGCGCAAAGCGUCAAGCUGCAAGGAGAGAAGCUACUAGACUGAGAAUGAGCCAAGAGAAGGUACUUCCUCUUGACAGAUCUGAGAAAGGACCUGAUGCUACACAUGCUACAAGAGUCAGCAGAAGUUAUUUGAUUCUUUGUCGAUGCUAGAUAAAUUCUCUGGAUAAGUUCUUUGAAACAGCAUAAACAUAUACACAUUACAUUUAUACAUGGAUGAAUUAGAAAACCUGUUUUAUGUAAUGUGUCUCAGAACAUUUGUGAAAAUAUAAUGAUCAGGUUUGAAACA